rnacentral:rRNA from 1 species
CCUACGGGUGGCAGCAGUCGAGAAUUUUUCUCAAUGGGCGCAAGCCUGAAGGAGCGACGCCGCGUGGGGGAUGAAGGGUUUCGAUCCGUAAACCCCUGUCAUUUGUGAACAAUGGUUGCCGUUGAACAUUCGGCAACUUGAUAGUAAUGAAAGAGGAAGGGACGGCUAACUCUGUGCCAGCAGCCGCGGUAAUACAGAGGUCCCAAGCGUUGUUCGGAUUCACUGGGCGUAAAGGGUGCGUAGGUGGCGCUUCAAGUUUGAUGUGAAAGCUCAGGGCUUAACCCUGAAAUGGCAUUGAAUACUGGAGUGCUGGAGGUUUGGAGGGGGGACUGGAAUUCUCGGUGUAGCAGUGAAAUGCGUAGAUAUCGAGAGGAACACCAGUGGCGAAGGCGAGUCCCUGGACAACACCUGACACUGAGGCACGAAAGCCGGGGGAGCAA